AUACGGAGAGUGCAAGCGUUGUUCGGAAUUACUGGGCGUAAAGAGCAUGUAGGCGGCCUGGUCAGUCUGGUGUGAAAGCCCGGGGCUCAACCCCGGAAGUGCAUUGGAUACUGCUAGGCUUGAGUACUGGAGGGGAAAGCGGAAUUCCGAGUGUAGAGGUGAGAUUCGUAGAUAUUCGGAGGAGCACCUGUGGCGAAGGCGGCUUUCUGGACAGAUACUGACGCUGAGAUGCGAAAGCGUGGGGAGCAAACAGGAUUAGAAACCCUAGUAGUCC
rnacentral:rRNA from 1 species